ACAACUCCUGUGAAUAUAAAAACAUUUGCUCUUUAUCUGCCAAAGUUACACGGGGGGAACCAAAUAUUUCAGCCAUCCAAAAUAUGGUGUUUCCCCUCCAUGACAUGGGAACAAAUUAAUUUACCAGCAAGUCUUUUACAUUGUCGUUUUACCGAGAAAUCGAUCAGAAGCGCCAUGAAGACAGUCCGAUCCGCCUUUUGGGCUGCAGUUCGUUCUCCCGAAACAGGGGGAACAGAAUUUGUCAGAACAACAAACAAACAAACAAAAAAAGAAAACAUUUAUUAACGUCCUGAAGUUUGCUGGUGUGCUGCCUACAGGCACCACAUCCUAAUACUGGCACCGCACUCAAGUCAGGUUUUUAACAAGGUUUCCUGAUUUACUCAUUUCCGGACUCAUUGAACGCAUCACCAUCCCAUAAUAGUUGUUUUCUCGCAGCCCAUCCCAUAAUAGUUUCCUCCUCACGUCGGAACAGGACUUCGCUUCGGAGCUCACCGUUCGCUCUCCUUUAGUUGGACCAGUACCUUCAAAUAGUUGCUAAAAUAGUUACUCUUUCACCUCAGUGGAGGACUAUCUUGCCGGGACACUCGUGGGUUAUGUAUCCUCAAUGUUUAUGCGUCCAUGAGACUAUCAAAAAACCCUCACAGCUGAUCCUGGACAGAACGUCACUCUGCCAUGUCGAGCUCCAAACAGCAACAACAUAGUUGUAGAGUGGAGCAGAGCUGACCUGGGGACAGAAUAUGUCCUCCUUUACCGGGAUGAUCGGACUCUUCCAGACAAUCAGCAUCCAUCUUUCAAGAACCGGGUGGAUCUGCAGGACAGACAGAUAAAGGAUGGAGACGUGUCUGUGAUCCUGAAGAACGUGACGUUUAAUGACACUGGAACAUACGAGUGUCGCGUCUUCAUGAGAGGAACAAACCGCUGGAAGAGAGGCCUAUUGAAGACAAAACCCAUCAGCAUCAUCUACCUGAGAGUUGUUGAUCCUCCUCCAGGUCCAGGAGGAGGAACCACAGAGGAUGGAGGGAAGAAGGAAGGAGGGAAGGAGGAUGGAGGGAAGGAGGAUGGAGGGAAGGAGGAUGGAGGGAAGGAGGAUGGAGCUGUUGGUCUGAUUGUUGGUGUGUCAGUUGCUGCUGUGCUUCUUGUUGCUGCUGCUGGUUUUCUGAUCUACAGAAAGAAGCGACAGAAUCAGGGUUCAUAUCAUCCUCCAGCUGAACUGCAGCCUGUUUGAAACGUCUCAGAGUUUUUCCAGAGAACUUUGAGUCUCCUGCUGCAUUCAGGGGGAAAACAGAUGAGAAUAUCCUGAAAUGAAUGUCCAUGAGAUCUUUAGUUUAGUGUUCAGCAUAUAUGGAAAUGAUCAUAUCCGUCUUUAUUUCAUCUCUCUUUGAUUAUUUGAAUUUAUUAUUAUUUAUCUGAGCUGAUCAUCCCAGGAUUGCUUACCAAUGCUCCUGAAUGCUCCUGCAAGCUUUCUCAUCAGGUCCCUCAAAGGUCCCAUGUGACUCUGACCCUGUCUUCCUCACACUGACUCCCCUAAAAGUUCAGGGUUCACUUCAACAUGUGGGAGUGCUUUCAGAGCACCUCCACGGUCAGAUGCCUCCAUAUAUCAGUGAGCUCCUGCAUCCAUGUGUAACAUCGACUCUGUGAGGUGUGCUGAUCUGGACCAAAUCCAGGUUAAAGACUAAAGUGAGCUUUUGAGGUUAAUCUGAGCUGGAAUCAAAGUAAACAAACCACACUGAGAAAAUGUUCAAACUUUCAAAGCCACCAAGAAUCAAAGUGCAGGAAAACCUGAUUAUUGGUUUUCUCUGUAACUCUGUAACUGCAGCAAGAUUUACUGAGUCAUUCUAAUUAUGGAACAAGCUGCAGAGUUAUGAGGCUUUGAUACUGAGAGGAACAAAAACAGUUUAGUCAAUAAAGUUAUUUUAUUGAAGUAUUUAAGACAAGAUGGAGGAUCCCUGCUGCCAGAGAAGAUCAGUUUAACAGCUCAUUUAGGAGUGCUGCCACCUGCUGGACAUUUGAUGUACAGCAUUAUUAUUGUUACAUGAUGGCUGGCGGAUCUUUAUUAUAUAAUUAUUAGGUCAAACUCUCUAUUUGAUACACUCCCUAUCUCCCUAAUAGGUCGUGUUGAAAGCAUUCGUAUGAAUGUCUUACCAAGACUACUUUAUUUAUUCCAGAUGCUGCCAGUGGAGAUCCCCAAACAUACCUUUGUUAACUUUGAUAAAAUGUUGUCUGGAUUCAUCUGGGAAAAAAAGCGACCUAGAAUUAGGCUAAAAACCCUGCAGCUAUCUAAAUCCAAUGGGGGCCUUAAACUCCCAAGCUUAAAAUAUUACUACUGGGCUGCACAGCUUAAACCCUUAUUGGUAUGGAUACAGAACAAUGCAGACACUCGAUGGCUUGAAACAGAGGAAAGCAUGUGCUCAGAGCCACUGCAAACAUCACCCUUCUCAGAUGCCCCUGCAAAAGAAAUGACAAUUUGGACAAAAAACGCUGUUAGAAUUUGGAACAAAAUACAAUCAGCUUUUAAGUUAUCAAAACAGAUCUCACUUUUAACAAAUAUAUGAUUUAUGAAAACUUUUAUACCACAUAAGUUAGAUACUGGGUUCAGAAAUUGGUCUAAUUAUGGACUAUCUGAUAUUCAUCAAUUAAUUGAAGAGGGAAAUUUGAAAACCUUUGAGCAGAUGAAAAAUGAAUUUGGUCUCCCUAAGACAGACUUCCAUAGAUAUUUACAACUUUGAACCUUUGUGACGACACACAAAAAUUGGACUAAAUUUCAUGGGCCUGCACCUAUAGAAAGCUUUCUAAUGAAUAUACAAAGGGGAAAGGGAAAACAUAAAGUAAUUAGUAAAUUAUAUGAUCUAAUCCUAUCUAUGAAUAUGCACGACUCCAUAAACAUAAAGCAGAAAUGGGAGACUGAAAUGAAGGAGACAAUGGCAGAGGGCACAUGGGAGGAAAUAUGCACUGGAGCACAAUUAGCCACAAGCUCUAAUACUUGGAGAGAAUUCAAAUGGAAAGUAAUAAUCAGAUUUUUCAGAACGCCAGCAAUAACUGGUAAAAUGGGUCCAGCAUAGCCGAGCUCAUGCUGGAGAAAUUGUGGACUGCCAACCAUACUCGUAUCUUCUGGCUUUGUCCUAAAUUAAGUUUAUUCUGGGAGGAGAUGUUUGAUGCACUCAAAGCAAUUUUCAGAAGAGACGUCCCAAAACCCCCCCUAGUGGCAGCAUUGGGAGAAAUACCUGAGGGAAAGGACAGGAAGGCCGACAGAUAUCUUCUAAAUAUAUUGCUCACAGCAGCCUUGAAGUGCAUAACCAUUAGAUGGCUAAAACCACGUAUAAUAUAUGGAUUCAAAAAGUUUGGGACAUUUAUUCAAUGGAGGAAAUUACAUACUCUCUAAGGCUUCAAAAACAGUUUUUAAUAUACGCUGGAGCCCAGCCAUGCCCUUAUUAAUACAGUGAUAUACUUAGAGGCAGCCCUUUUGCCCUUAUUAAUACAGUGAUAUACUUAGAGGCAGCCCUUUUGCCCUUACUGUACACUUUCGAAGCAGUAAAAAAUACCAUUGUGCACAAGAAUAUGUGGACCAUCUAACUCAGAGGGGAUUCUAUUAUUUGCUUCUUUUUUUAAUUUGCUUGGUUUUAUUUUGUUUAUCUCUUUGUCAUUUUGUUGUUACUACAGUAUUAUACACUGUACACACUCUUAUCUUAUCUUGUCUUCCUUCAUCAAGAGAAGAAUGUAACUAUGGAAAAGUGUCUUUAUUUA